CAUUCUUUUAGAUUGAGAGCGGUUAGUGGCGGACUGGUGAGUAACACGUAAGCAACCUGCCUAUCAGAGGGGAAUAACAGUGAGAAAUCAUUGCUAAUACCGCAUAAGCUAGUAGUAUCGCAUGAUAUAGCUAGAAAAGGAGCAAUCCGCUGAUAGAUGGGCUUGCGUCUGAUUAGCUAGUUGGUGGGGUAACGGCCUACCAAGGCGACGAUCAGUAGCCGGACUGAGAGGUUGAACGGCCACAUUGGGACUGAGAUACGGCCCAGACUCCUACGGGAGGCAGCAGUCGGGAAUAUUGCGCAAUGGAGGAAACUCUGACGCAGUGACGCCGCGUAUAGGAAGAAGGUUUUCGGAUUGUAAACUAUUGUCGUGAGGGAAGAAAUUGACAGUACCUCAGGAGGAAGCUCCGGCUAACUAUGUGCCAGCAGCCGCGGUAAUACAUAGGGAGCAAGCGUUAUCCGGAUUUAUUGGGUGUAAAGGGUGCGUAGACGGGAAAUUAAGUUAGUUGUGAAAUCCCUCGGCUUAACUGAGGAACUGCAACUAAAACUGAUUUUCUUGAGUACUGGAGAGGAAAGUGGAAUUCCUAGUGUAGCGGUGAAAUGCGUAGAUAUUAGGAGGAACACCAGUGGCGAAGGCGACUUUCUGGACAGUAACUGACGUUGAGGCACGAAAGUGUGGGGAGCAAACAGGAUUAGAUACCCUGGUAGUCCACACAGUAAACGAUGAAUACUCGCUGUUUGCGAUAUACGGCAAGCGGCCAAGCGAAAGCAUUAAGUAUUCCACCUGGGGAGG
rnacentral:rRNA from 1 species